rnacentral:rRNA from 1 species
GAUGAACGCUAGCGGCAGGCUUAACACAUGCAAGUCGAGGGGCAGCAUGAGACGGAGAUUCGUCGAAGUCUUGAUGGCGACCGGCGCAAGGGUGCGUAACGCGUGAGCAACUUGCCCGUUUCAGGGGGAUAACCGGUGGAAACGCCGACUAAUACCCCAUGGUAUUGGAUUUAGGCAUCUUUAUCCAAUUAAAGAAAUUCGGAAACGGAUAGGCUCGCGUGACAUUAGCUAGAUGGCGGGGUAACGGCCCACCGUGGCGACGAUGUCUAGGGGUUCUGAGAGGAAGGUCCCCCACACUGGAACUGAGACACGGUCCAGACUCCUACGGGAGGCAGCAGUGAGGAAUAUUGGUCAAUGGUCCGACGACUGAACCAGCCAUGCCGCGUGAAGGUGACGGCCCUAUGGGUCUUAAACCUCUUUUGUAAGGGAGCAAUAAGGCGUACGUGUACGUCGAUGAGAGUACCUUACGAAUAAGCAUCGGCUAACUCCGUGCCAGCAGCCGCGGUAAAAC